GAUGAAGAACGUAGUGAAAUGCGAUAAGUAAUGUGAAUUGCAGAAUUCAGUGAAUCAUCGAAUCUUUGAACGCACAUUGCGCCCGGCAGUACUCUGCCGGGCAUGCCUGUUCGAGCGUCAUUUCAACCCUCAAGCCCUGCUUGGUGUUGGGGUCCCACGGCCGCCGUGGGCCCUGAAAGGAAGUGGCGGGCUCGCUACAACUCCGAGCGUUGUAAUUCAUUAUCUCGCUUAGGGCGUUGGGCGGCGCUCCUGCCGUUAAAGAACCAUCUUUAACUCAAGGUUGACCUCGGAUCAGGUAGGAAUACCCGCUGAACUUAAGCAUAUCAAUAAGCGGAGGA
rnacentral:misc_RNA from 1 species